GUGGAUUAGGCAUGCAAGUCGAACGAGAAAGGGUGAAUCCCGCAAGGGUGGAUCCCUAGUACAGUGGCGAAAGGGUGAGUAACGCAUAAACAACCUGCCCUCCAGCGGGGGACAACGUCGGGAAACUGACGCUAAUACCGCAUGUGCCGUCGUGACCGCAUGGUUGUGACGUGAAAGGCCGGGACCGUAAGGCCGGCCACUGGGGGAGGGGUUUAUGUUCUAUCAGCUAGUUGGCGGGGUAAUGGCCCACCAAGGCUCUGACGGAUAGCCGGACUGAGAGGUCGACCGGCCACACUGGGACUGGGACACUGCCCAGACUCCUACGGGAGGCUGCAGUCGAGGAUCUUCGGCAAUGCGCGCAAGCGUGACCGAGCGACGCCGCGUGAAGGAUGAAGGCCUUCGGGUCGUAAACUUCUGUCACAGGUUAAGAAUAAGGUUCACUGAAUAAGUGAGCCGAUGACUAAGGCCUGAGAGGAAGCCCUGGCUAACCUCGUGCCAGCAGCCGCGGUAAUACGAGGAGGGCAAACGUUGUUCGGAUUUACUGGGCUUAAAGGGCGCGUAGGCGGCCGCAUAUGUCGGGGUUGAAAUCCCUCAGCUCAACUGAGGAAUUGGUUCCGAAACUGUGCGGCUUGAAUACAUCAGGGGCGUGUGGAACUCCAGGUGGAGCGGUGAAAUGCGUAGAUAUCUGGAGGAACGCCGGUGGCGAAAGCGACACGCUGGGGUGCUAUUGACGCUGGGGCGCGAAAGCUAGGGGAGCAAACAGGAUUAGAUACCCUGGUAGUCCUAGCCGUAAACGAUGGAUACUAAGUAGCGGUGUCUCCGAUGGCAUCGCUGCCGAAGCAAAAGUAUUAAGUAUCCCGCCUGGGGAGUACGGUCGCAAGACUAAAACUCAAAGGAAUUGACGGGGGCUCGCACAAGCGGUGGAGGAUGUUGUUUAAUUCGAGGCAACGCGAAGAACCUUACCUGGGUUUGACAUGUACGUAGUAGGGACCCGAAAGGGCGACGAGCCGGAGCAAUCCGGAAGCGUACACAGGUGCUGCAUGGCUGUCGUCAGCUCGUGCCGUGAGGUGUUGGGUUAAGUCCCGUAACGAGCGAAACCCUUGUCAGUAGUUGCUAACAGGUCACGCUGAGGACUCUACUGAGACUGCCGGUGUUAAACCGGAGGAAGGUGGGGAUGACGUCAAGUCCUCAUGGCCCUUAUUACCCAGGGCUACAAACGUCCUACAAUGGCCGGUACAGAGAGAUGCAAGACCGUAAGGUGGAGCAAAUCUAAAGCCGUCCCAAGUUCGGAUCGUGGGCUGCAAUUCGUCCACGUGAAGCUGGAAUCGCUAGUAAUCGCGCAUCAGCCACGGCGCGGUGAAUGUGUUCCCGAGCCUUGUACACACCGCCCGUCAAGCCAUGAAAGCCGGGGGUACCCAAAGUCGCCAGCCCAACCGCAAGGAGGACAGCGCCUAAGGUAAACUCGGUGAUUGGGACUAAGUCGGAACAAGGUA
rnacentral:rRNA from 1 species